rnacentral:rRNA from 1 species
GACGAACGCUGGCGGCGUGCUUAACACAUGCAAGUCGAGCGGUAAGGCCCUUUCGGGGGUACGACGAGCGGCGAACGGGUGGAGUAACACGUGGGUGGACCUGCCCUCAGCUCUGGGAUAAGCCUGGGAAACUGGGUCUAAUACUGGAUAUGACUCCACGGUGCAUGUCGUGGGGUGGAAAGCCUUGUGCGGCUGAGGAUGGGCCCG